rnacentral:rRNA from 1 species
UACGUAGGAUCCAAGCGUUGUCCGGAUUCACUGGGCGUAAAGGGUGCGUAGGCGGUCGGGUAAGUCUGAUGUGAAAUCUCACAGCUUAACUGUGAAACUGCAUUGGAUACUAUCCGGCUUGAGGAAUGGAGGGGAGACUGGAAUACUUGGUGUAGCAGUGAAAUGCGUAGAUAUCAAGUGGAACACCAGUGGCGAAGGCGAGUCUCUGGACAUUUCCUGACGCUGAGGCACGAAAGCCAGGGGAGCAAACGGG